UACGUAGGGGGCAAGCGUUGUCCGGAAUCAUUGGGCGUAAAGAGCGUGUAGGCGGCCAGAUAAGUCCGCUGUGAAAUCUUGAGGCUCAACUUCGAGCUGUCGGUGGAAACUGUCUGGCUAGAGUCCGGAAGAGGAGAAUGGAAUUCCUGGUGUAGCGGUGAAAUGCGCAGAUAUCAGGAAGAACACCAGUGGCGAAGGCGGUUCUCUGGGACGGUACUGACGCUGAGACGCGAAAGCGUGGGGAGCGAACAGG
rnacentral:rRNA from 1 species